UUGAAUUCGAAUUUUAUUUUUAUUCGUAAGUCUUAACUAAAUUGAAAAACAAACGGGAAGGUCAGAUUACUCCUCAACAGAUUUCACCUCAAGUGGUUGUCCAACUUCAUGGACACGUUCCUCUUCAACGAGGAAACGUAUUGCAAAUCCUGCUCGAGCACCUGAACGAUC
rnacentral:ribozyme from 11 species